AAGCUCGUAGUUGAAUUUCGGGGUCAGCAGGUUGGUCGUGCCUAUGGUAUGAACUGGCUUCGCUGGUCUCUCCUUUCUGAAGAACUGUAAUGCCAUUAAUUUGGUGUUGCAGGGACACAGGACUGUUACUUUGAAAAAAUUAGAGUGUUUAAAGCAGGCUAACGCUUGAAUACAUUAGCAUGGAAUAAUGAAAUAGGACGUUCGAACCUAUUUUGUUGGUUUCUAGGAUUGACGUAAUGAUUAAUAGGGAUAGUUGGG
rnacentral:rRNA from 1 species